rnacentral:rRNA from 1 species
CAACCUGCCGAUGACUCGGGGAUAGUCUUUCGAAAGAAAGAUUAAUACCCGAUGGCAUAGUUCUUCCGCAUGGUAGAACUAUUAAAGAAUUUCGGUCAUCGAUGGGGAUGCGUUCCAUUAGGUUGUUGGCGGGGUAACGGCCCACCAAGCCUUCGAUGGAUAGGGGUUCUGAGAGGAAGGUCCCCCACAUUGGAACUGAGACACGGUCCAAACUCCUACGGGAGGCAGCAGUGAGGAAUAUUGGUCAAUGGACGAGAGUCUGAACCAGCCAAGUAGCGUGAAGGAUGACUGCCCUAUGGGUUGUAAACUUCUUUUAUACUGGAAUAAAGUGAGGCACGUGUGCCUUUUUGUAUGUACCGUAUGAAUAAGGAUCGGCUAACUCCGUGCCAGCAGCCGCGGUAAUACGGAGGAUCCGAGCGUUAUCCGGAUUUAUUGGGUUUAAAGGGAGCGUAGGCGGACGCUUAAGUCAGUUGUGAAAGUUUGCGGCUCAACCGUAAAAUUGCAGUUGAUACUGGGUGUCUUGAGUACAGUAGAGGCAGGCGGAAUUCGUGGUGUAGCGGUGAAAUGCUUAGAUAUCACGAAGAACUCCGAUUG